GACGAACGCUGGCGGCGUGCUUAACACAUGCAAGUCGAACGGAAAGGCCCUGCUUUUGUGGGGUGCUCGAGUGGCGAACGGGUGAGUAACACGUGAGUAACCUGCCCUUGACUUUGGGAUAACUUCAGGAAACUGGGGCUAAUACCGGAUAGGAGCUCCUGCUGCAUGGUGGGGGUUGGAAAGUUUCGGCGGUUGGGGAUGGACUCGCGGCUUAUCAGCUUGUUGGUGGGGUAGUGGCUUACCAAGGCUUUGACGGGUAGCCGGCCUGAGAGGGUGACCGGCCACAUUGGGACUGAGAUACGGCCCAGACUCCUCCGGGAGGCAGCGGUGGGGAGUAUUGCACAAUGGGCGGAAGCGUGAUGCGCCAACGCCGCGUGCGGGAUGACGGCCUUCGGGUUGUAAACCGCUUUCGCCUGUGACGAAGCGUGAGUGACGGUAAUGGGUAAAGAAGCACCGGCUAACUACGUG
rnacentral:rRNA from 1 species